GGAGGUGCAAGCGUGUCCGGAUUUAUUGGGGUUUAAAGGGGUGCGUAGGCGGCCUAUUAAGUCAGUGGUGAAAGGUAUCAGCUUAACUGAUGACGUGCCAUUGAAACUGACAGGCUUGAGUACAGACGAGGUAGGCGGAAUUUAUGGUGUAGCGGUGAAAUGCAUAGAUACCAUAAAGAACACCGAUAGCGAAGGCAGCUUACUAGACUGUAACUGACGCUGAGGCACGAAAGCGUGGGGAGCGAACAGGAUUAGAUACCCUGGUAGUCCACGCUGUAAACGAUGAUUACUGGAUGUGUGCGAUAGACAGCACGCGUCUGAGCGAAAGCGUUAAGUAAUCCACCUGGGGAGUACGAUCGCAAAGAUUG
rnacentral:rRNA from 1 species